CAGGCCUAACACAUGCAAGUCGAACGGUGGCAGCAAUGUCAUAGUGGCGCACGGGUGCGUAACACGUAACUAACCUACCUAUAACUGGGGGAUAGCCCGCCGAAAGGCGGAUUAAUACCGCAUAAGCUGUGAGGGUGGCAUCACCUUUUCAGUAAAGAUUUAUUGGUUAUAGAUGGGGUUGCGGGUCAUUAGCUAGUUGGUAAGGUAACGGCUUACCAAGGCGACGAUGACUAGGGGAGCUGAGAGGCUGGUCCCCCACACGGGCACUGAGAUACGGGCCCGACUCCUACGGGAGGCAGCAGUAGGGAAUAUUGGGCAAUGGGCGAGAGCCUGACCCAGCCAUGCCGCGUGCAGGAAGAAGGCUUUCUGAGUCGUAAACUGCUUUUGACAGGGAAGAAUAAGCUUCACGUGUGGAGUGAUGACGGUACCUGCAGAAUAAGCACCGGCUAACUCCGUGCCAGCAGCCGCGU
rnacentral:rRNA from 1 species